CCAGGGCCGGAGGAGCAGCAGAAGCAGCCGGCUCUGCUCGGUUCUGCUCAGCUCAGCAGCGGCCCACUCAGGCCUAAUGUGAUUUACAGCUGCGGUGGCACCAGCCAGCUGAUUAGACUGACUAAUCUACCUGAUCUGCAGCUGCACACAUUACCCAGAUCAUCGUUAAUGGAGCCUGUACGGCCGAGACACAGGCUGUAGUUUAAAUGAUUAAAGAGCGCAACCUAAUUACUAACCUUAGCAUCUCUGCGACUGGAGUUUAACCUCAUCUGUACAUGUUGGCACGGAGAAGAAUAACGGUGUUCCGGGCUAAUAAUAAGCUUCAGUCUGAGCAACGCAGGUCAUCCUGGUCGGCAGCAACUUCUCAUUUCCUCUACGAGGCUUGGCAGGUGCCAUCAGCGGGAAAACACCCUAUCCUUUCCAUGACCACAGGAACUUCAAGGAAUGCGACUUUCCAAGCAUGCAGCUGCAACCCGCCUCCUCCAAGUUCGCACAUGGUUAAAACUACUCUGUUACCCGUUGAGUUAAAACGUCAAUGUACUCGUUUAAGUUUUGACUUUUUAAGUUUGGACAAGUCGUUUAGGAUUGACGAUUUCCAAGUGGAGAAAACACGCAAAUGGCGACAUCUUGUGGUUGUUUUGCAAAACUGCAUACAAGAAAGUAUUCACACUGUCACGUGCUUAGCAAUACAUUAACAAAGAUUGGAUCAAAAUGUGAGAAAAUAUACCCGCUUUAACGACGGUGACUUUCAAAUAACUACUUCUUGGAAAAUUUAAAAACUUUUCUCAGAAGUAAGAAUAUCUCGUCCAUCUCUUUGAAAGCUUUAGUUGUUCUUGCUCUGGCCUAACUCUGUCUUUUGAACAUAUAACACAGCCGUUAUAAGAUUAAACGUUGUAAAAGAUAAUUCUGGUUAAAAAAGGGGACAAAAAAGACUACUUUUGUUUGUGCCAAUUUUAAAAACUGAACCUUGGGAGGAUUUCUGAUUUUCUCCAAGCAUUUCACCGUUUUGAGAUCGUCCCAUUUUCACAAUAAAUACAGUUUUGCUUCUUUAGAAUAAUCCAGAUUAGGUCUCACAGACUGAAGGUGAUGGACUGGAGGUAAUGGCUAGUCCAACGCGGGCAAAAACCAAAAUAGAUGUUUGGCCUCCAAUCAUGUUGGUUUUUUCCAGAUGCUAUUUUGUCAACAUUUGAAUAUUCAUCUAAGUUGCACUUUGUUGGAAUACAUUUACCUAGAAAGUAAUUAGUUGCUUUAAACUUUAUCUCCAGUGUAAAUAACUUCCUAAUUCAAACAUGACAAUGCGUUUUAAAGUUUUUUGUUUUGUUUUGUUUGUUUUUUUUUUGUUUGUUUGUUUUUUUAAAUAGCUUUUGUGUUUAAUGCUAAGGUGGUGUUUUUGACACUGGAGUUGUCUUGAUUCCACUCUGGUUUCAGCCCCUCCUACACUAGCUCCUCCUUUAGCCUCCAGAACCAACUCCUCUGGAUUUGUACUAAACAAAAACACUAAGAGAGUUAUAGGGUAAUCUGUUGUACUGUAGGUAAGAUAUUGACUGUUUAUAAAGACUACUAAAACAAU